rnacentral:rRNA from 1 species
UUAAAUAGCUGCAGUAUAAAUAACUGUACUAAGGUAGCAUAAUAAUUAGUUUUUUAAUUGAAAACUAGAAUGAAAGAUUUAAUGAAAUAAAUACUGUCUCAAUUUAAAUAAAUAAACUUUUUAUUUAAGUAAAAAAUCUUAAAUAAAAUUAAAAGACGAGAAGACCCUAUAGAAUUUUAUAUUUAAUUGGGGAGAUUUUAAAAUUAAAAAAACUUUUAAUUAAAUUUACAUAUAUUAAUGAAUAAAAUAUAUUUUUUAAAAAAAUAAAAAAAAAUUACCUUAGGGAUAACAGCAUUA